rnacentral:rRNA from 1 species
AUUGAACGCUGGCGGCAGGCUUAACACAUGCAAGUCGAGCGAGCGGCGGACGGGUGAGAAAUGUCUGGGAAACUGCCUGAUGGAGGGGGAUAACUACUGGAAACGGUAGCUAAUACCGCAUACCAUCAGAUGUGCCAAGAUGGGAUUAGCUAGUAGGGGGGGUAAGUGCUCACCUAGGCGACGAGCCCUAGCUUGUCUUCGGGGAUGACCAGCCACACUGGAACUGAGACACGGUCCAGACUCCAACGGUAGGCAGCAGUGGGGAAUAUUGCACAAUGGGCGCAAGCCGGAUGCAGCCAUGCCGCGUGUGUGAAGAAGGCCUUCGGGUUGUAAAGCACUUUCAGCGAGGAGGCGUUACUCGCAGAAGAAGCACCGGCUAACUCCGUGCCAGCCGCCGCGGUAAUUC